UCACGUGUGUGCAGCUGCCCGGUGCCCUUCAUGAGUUUCCAGGAGCAAGAUCACAUACAGACUAACUGCUGUGGUCUCCAGGGCUCCUGUGCACUUCUCAAAUAGCUCACCAUGACUCCAGCCUGCUGCAUGCCGCGUGCGAGUGAGCACGCAACCUGUCCAUGCUUACACACACGCCCACAGAUGCCCACGCUCACAUGCACCUGCCCACUUACACACAUGCCUACGCUCACACACAUACGUGCCCGUGCUCACACCCGCCCAUGCUCACACACCCACACACACCUGCCCACGCUCACACCUGCCCCCACACACCUGCCCACACUCAGACACACUUGCCCCCGUCACCCACACACGCCCACGCUCACACACACCUGCCCGUGCUCACACACCCGCCCAUGCUCACACCCACACAUACCUGCCCAUGCUCACACCUGCCCCCACACACCUGCCCACACUCAGACACACCUGCUCCCUCACACACACGCCCACGCUCACACACCUGCCCACUUACACACCCACACAUGCCCACGCUCACACACACCUGCCCACUUACACACAUGCCCACGCUCACACACCUGCCCACUUACACACAUGCCCACACUCACACCUGCCCACUUACACACGCCCACGCUCACACACCUGCCCACUUACAUGCCCACGCUCACACACACACCUGCCCACUUACACACCUGCCCACACACACACCUGCCCACUUACACACGCCCACGCUCACACACACACCUGCCCACUUACAUGGCUACGUUCACACACACCUGCCCGUGCUCCCACACCCGCCCAUGCUCACACACCCACACACCUGCCCACGCUCACACCUGCCCCCACACACCUGCCCACACUCAGACACACUUGCCCCCUCACCCACACACACGCCCACGCUCACACACACCUGCCCGUGCUCACACACCCGCCCAUGCUCACACCCACACACCUGCCCACGCUCACACCUGCCUUCACACACCUGCCCAUACUCAGACACACCUGCCCACUCACACCCACACAUGCCCAUGCUCACACAUGCCCACACUCACACCCGUGCUCACACACCUGCCCCACACACACCUGCCCAUGCUGACACACAACUACCCAUGCUCACACCUGCCCAUGCUCGCACACCUGCCCACACUCAUCCACACACCUAUCCACACUUACGCACACCUGCCCAUCACACACGCCUGCCCACACUCACAGAUGCCCACACCCACACCUGCCCACUCACCUACACACACUCCCAUGCUCACACGCACCUGCCCAAACAUGCCCACACACACACCCACACCUGCCCACACUCAGACACCUGCCCACAC
rnacentral:lncRNA from 1 species